CAAUAUGAUUAGUUUGGGAUUGUAUUAAUCUAUGUGUUAAUGUGUUAUAUAAGUGUCUCUAGAAAGAAAAAUUCUAGAAUGCAACGGGUAUAUUAGUAACGUGGCGUAACAAAUCAAUCAAGUUAAUCCUUUUAAGAAUAUAUGUCCCAUCAUGAUUGUAAAAAAGUAUUUUUAUUGUACUUUCGUUUGAAAAGAAGGAAUGUGAUUGACUUGUUAUUGAUGACGUGGUGCAAGUGUGACAGUGUAGAAUUCCUCCUUUAGAAGAGCCCAC
rnacentral:lncRNA from 1 species